rnacentral:rRNA from 1 species
GCUUUAUAUUUCUAUUCUAUUAUUUGUUUAGUGUACUUAUUAUAAUAUUAAAAAAAAUAUUUUGUUGGGGUGACAGGAAGAUAAGAAAAACUCUUUUUAGUUUAAUUACAUUGAUUUAUGAAUUGUUGAUCCAUUAUUAUUGAUUAUAAGACUAAGU